AAACCAAGACCACAAACAAACAAACAAAAAACUCUAACAAAAAUAAUCAGUCAAAGAAAUAUGGGAACACUGGCCAAUUCACUUUCUGGAGAUAUGCUGCUUCCUUAUAGCACUUCACAGGUAAAAGUGUUCAGUGGUCUUAAAAAAAUAACUGAAGAUUAUAAGAGAAUAUUUAUCUGUAUAUUUUAUGCCUAAAGAAUGAAAAAAACAUCUAUUUUGCAUGCCAAUGCACUGUUACAUACCCAUAUUCAGCUUUCACUUUCAGCAGAUGUUAUCUGCUAAUGUAUAUUUCAGGAGAGUUUGGAAAUCUAAUGUUAAAUUGUGGUAUUUUUUACCUCCUGGAAAGAAUGGGCUUUUGAUAACAAAAGAAGUUAAAAAGACAACUUGCUAAAUGGUACUUACUGAGAAAUAGGGUUCUCUGUUCCAGGGAGAGAGAGACAUCAAACUUUCAAAUCCUACUUGAAAGUUUGCAUUUCUAAAAUCAGUCAAUCAAACAAACAAAAAACCCUUAAUUUUUUCACAAAAGUUAAUUUCCUUCAGUUUCAAAGAAAUGAGCUGAAACUCAUCAUGUUGAGUCUCACCAUGGUGAAAAUGCAAAGCGUAGUGUGGGAAGCCCCUGGAAACCCAGUUCUUAACGGACAUUUUCUGUCAGCCUUUGUCAUCACAGCAUACAUUUUCCUGUCAUAUAAUGCAGGGUAAUUAUAUGGAUUCUCCUUUUUCCAAAUCAGAGGAAUGCUUCCUUACUUGACUGGAGGGGCCACAGACUACUAGUCAACCUACAAAUCCUGUUAGCAUUACAACUCCACACAAAUAAAGAAUUUGGAUCGGUGCCUUGUUAGAUCACCUCUAUUUCUAGCUCGCUGAGUAAAAAGAGCAUUUUUUACAGCCUAGUUUGAUAAGUAAAAGGUAUCUUUCUCACCUGCUUGCACUCUGAAUUGUCACUAUCGUGCUUUGUUCCUUUGCAUGUGGCUGUUGUCAGCUUCCGAGUCACAGAACCACUUGCAGGAACGGCUCGGGAGAGUUUUGGAAGAAAGGAGAGGGAAAAAAGGAGCUGCAUUUUUAUUUAACAGAAGAAGGAGAACAUAAAGAAAAGAAAGGUGUUCUCAAGAAUGUAGCCCGCAGCCUUGUCAGGUAGCAUAUCUUCAGAUGUUUUUUUUCUCCCCUUUCCCACCCCAAGAUCUCUCUUCAUCAUUUUUUUAAACAUCUCUUCUGGGACAGGGACAUGAAAGUGAAUUGUGGGUCAAAGUCAAGAAUUAGGGGUUGCUGGGGCUGCUUUCUGAUGGCUUUACUUUAUCUUUGUGUCCAAGCUUUUGCCAGUCAGCAGGUACCGCGGGUUAUCCAUUCCAGUCACAUCAUUUUCUGCUUGAUGACAAGCAUCACACCUUCAUCCAUCACAUUUACAUUUCAAACUGCCACACUGCUCUAUUGAUUAAUUAUUUAGCAGCUCUUGGCCACUUGCGAGUGUUUCUGUGCUCACGUUUCACAGAGAAGGUCCAUUCUUUUUAUUUGCGUACGGUUUUGUAAAGCAGAAAAAAUAUGUAAUGCCUUUAGCACACGCACCCCUGUGCAUGUAUGCUAAUAUAUAUGAUAUGGCAAUAUAUAUAUGCAUAUGUGUGUGCAUGCUUAUGUGGUGUAUGUACUGGUACAAUUAAAUACACACAAGGAGUGGGAGCAGGUAAUCUGAUCAAUAAGCACAUGCUCACACUGAUAAUAGAUUUCUGAGUUGUCAGAGACCUGAGCAGACGAUCAAUGAGACCUUGCAGGUGUGCUGGAGCCAGGCAUUGGAUCAGCUACAUCCUUGCACACCAGUGGGAAACUCACACACCAUCCUCUGGGCUCUGUCACUCAGAACAAAAACAGGUGAAAGUCUCUUGCAGGUGCUUGAUAAUGUUUAUAUUUCUUCCACAUCACAGGCAGGAAAAGGGCAGCCCCUACACAAGAGCCAAGGAGAUCUGGUUCCUUCUAAGCUUCCAUUAGCCCAGGCAAAUCACUUCAUCUUUCUUUUCCUCCAUUCUCUUUUGGUGAAAUGGAAAUCCUGUGGCAUCUGGAAAAUAAAUCCACUACUCUGUUGGGAAAGCUGGCUACCCAAAGGUGGUGGUGCAUUCCAUACAUUAUCCCUAAUUUCUUGCCAAAAGAUAGAUGUCUUUAGAAAGAACACCUGCAAGAACGAGGAAAUAUGAAGUACGUAAUAAUAGAAAAAGGAAUUUCAGUAAAAAUCUUGAGACCAUUCUUUGGAUGUUCAUGACAUCAUGUACUUACACUGGAGCUGGAAAUGAGGUCAUCUUGAAUUCCUACAUAAAAAUAGUAUUUAAAUCUUUCUUAAUGUUUUCAACUGUUUCUAUUUUUUUGCAAAUUUAUUAUGGAUAAAACCCAACCUAUAUAAACAGAAUGAUUCUUUUCUUCUGCUAUUCAUUUUCAGUAAUUUCUAAGUAAUGCAAAGCUUAUUAAAAUAAAAGGAAAUGUGUACGUUAACUUAAUAUGCUCUGGAUGAAACCUUUGAAGAGGAGGGACCACAUGGUCCUUAUUGCCCAUCUCUUGAAUUUCUGUCAUUGUCCUUCAAAUUUCAGAGGAAAAUGUAAUGCUACUGACUUUUUUAAUGGAUGGGAUUUGUGCCAGUAUUGAGCUCAUUGUUUCAAUUGUGUUAGGUUAGGCUUGGUCAAAGUUCUCCUGUGAAAUUACUUGGUUUAUUUUAAAGUACAUUGGGAACAUGUACAGGGUAAAUGAAUACUGUAUUUAUAUGUUUACAGCAAAAUAUUACAGUGUUCAGACAAACCAAUGUUGUUUGCCUACUAUAUUAGCAGUGUUAAUACAUUAUUUAAUAAACUGGGAAUAAUGGGCUGGUUCAUUUCUAUGGAGAUAAAUGAAAUGAAAAAUGAAGUCAUCUGGGCCUUAGUCCUGACCUGUGGUGGAAGAUUUGGAUGUUUGGUUGAAUAUAAUGUAUACCUCUGACUUCAAUUAAAGGAAAUAUUUAAUGUUAGAUUUUUGCCACUAUUUUUCCACUGUGUUCACUUCUCCUCCUACCUCUUCUAGUCCAUUCCGUUCUCUUCUUUUUCAGAAAGAAAUUGAAAGUUCUGUGAAGUGUGAAUUCAUUUAGUAUUUUUUUUUUCUAAUCACUUUUCAAUCCUCUCCUGUAUCUGGCAUUAAUACCAAAACUUAAUGCUGAGAAAAGUCAUUUUGUGUUGAUGGCUGAUUGAAUGAUCCAGCUUAUGUCUACAUUCAUCCACCAGGGCCAGAUGUGAAGGAAGGUAAGUUGUGUUACUGGCUGCUAGAUCAAGGACAUCUCCUUGCCCUGCGUAAACAAAGGACUGGAAGACAAAGCAGCUAUUUCAGACGUGCCCUCACAUUUUCUACGAAGUGCACCACAAAUUAGGCAGAAAUGUAUGCCUUUUAACUAAGGCCUCUGUAUCCCAGCUUGUGAAGGAAGUGGUGCCUGUGCUUUGCAAUGUAGAGGAGAAUGGAAAUGUAGCGUGGACAUCCAUGGAAGGAAACCACAGCAAAGGAUGUUCCUGGUCUCUCAAUUUUCAAUAUAUCAUCCAGAUACUUUGAAUAUAGAGACAAAGCUAUUUAUUUCUGCCUGUUAUCUCAAACGGUUUACACUGAAGUAACUUCUGAAUGUGAAAUGUCACAGAAGCAGCACUGAAUUAUAAUCACAAUAAUUAAAACUUCAAGUAAUUUGAAAAUCAGCACUUUCAUGGUUAAACAAAGGUGAUGAUAUCUUUUACCUCUACAAUUAGCAAAGUGGCUUUUAGUGCAAAGUGCACAACUAUGAAAGAUGCCAAAAUUUGCAUGAACAUUCAAAUAUCCAAGUCUGGUUUAAGUACAGAAGGAAGGAAUAGAAGAUGAUCCUUUGUAACUCAGUGAUUCCUCUCAUGUGAGUAACUUUAACAGAAAAAUGCCAGUACUAAUACUGAGGCAGCACUUGAUAAGAUGAAGAACAUUAUUAUUUGGAUCUGUCCAUAGUACUGUUCCAAUGUAAAGGUCUGAAAUCAGAAGAUGAAAUUAAGCUCCUACUCUAGUACUGUCAUUAGGCGAUGUUUGAGAAAGUAUUUUGCAUGCUUUAAAAAGAAUUAUUUCCUCUGAAACAUUUGUUCAUCGUUGAAUAAAGAUGUUUCUGUCUUACACACCUAUUCACUCACUGAUCCUUAAUUGGGACCCAAUGCAGUGUCAUAAACUAUAGUGGCAGCAAAGCUAUUCAUGCUUCUCUUCAGUUUUCUUCAUUUUUGCCUGCUUCAUCUCUUCACAUUCACAGCUAAGAGGCUUGCUCUGUAUAAAGAACAUGAACAUAGUAAUUAGUUCACCAUAGGUGUGUUUAAUUUGUAUUGUCAUAAAUAAAGAGAAAAAAUAACACUUCAUCUUUUUCAGGCUUAAUGACAUCAAGAAAGUAUAAUUGAAUAUGAAUAAUUGAAAAUAAAGAUUCUUUUAAAUAAGAUCUUUUAUUAGGAAGUGAGAACAAUAUAAAGUAGGCACCUUCCAGUAAGCUAUUUCGUAAAAUGGCAAACAUGAUAAUAAACAAAACAAUUAGAUUAUGAGUGGACUCCGCACUUUACAAAGAUUAAAAUACAUAAACAUAAUGACUGUGAGUACUUGAAAGGAUUAUACAGGCUCUAAUUCUAAGGUAUGCCUUUUCUGACUGCAUAAAUACCAACAUGCACAUCCUGCUACUGCCAAUAAUGAGAAAAGUCCCGAGAAAUCAAUGACAGGCGAGAA